CCUAACACAUGCAAGUCGAGCGGUAGCACAGAGAGCUUGCUCUCGGGUGACGAGCGGCGGACGGGUGAGUAAUGUCUGGGAAACUGCCUGAUGGAGGGGGAUAACUACUGGAAACGGUAGCUAAUACCGCAUAAUGUCGCAAGACCAAAGUGGGGGACCUUCGGGCCUCAUGCCAUCAGAUGUGCCCAGAUGGGAUUAGCUAGUAGGUGGGGUAACGGCUCACCUAGGCGACGUCCCUAGCUGGUCUGAGAGGAUGACCAGCCACACUGGAACUGAGACACGGUCCAGACUCCUACGGGAGGCAGCAGUGGGGAAUAUUGCACAAUGGGCGCAAGCCUGAUGCAGCCAUGCCGCGUGUGUGAAGAAGGCCUCGGGUUGUAAAGCACUUUCAGCGGGGAGGAAGGCG
rnacentral:rRNA from 1 species